rnacentral:tRNA from 1 species
GCCGAUGUAGCUCAGGCGGUAGAGCGGGUCAUUCGUAAUGACCAGGUCGGGGGUUCGAAUCCCUCCAUCGGCACCA